UACGAAGGGGGCUAGCGUUGUUCGGAUUUACUGGGCGUAAAGCGCACGUAGGCGGUUUGUUAAGUGAGAGGUGAAAUCCCAGAGCUCAACUCUGGAACUGCCUUUCAUACUGGCAAGCUAGAGUCCGGAAGAGGUAAGUGGAACUCCUAGUGUAGAGGUGGAAUUCGUAGAUAUUAGGAAGAACACCAGUGGCGAAGGCGGCUUACUGGUCCGGAACUGACGCUGAGGUGCGAAAGCGUGGGAGCAAACAGGAUUGA
rnacentral:rRNA from 1 species